rnacentral:rRNA from 1 species
GGGACACGUGGUAUCCUGUCUGAAUAUGGGGGGACCAUCCUCCAAGGCUAAAUACUCCUGACUGACCGAUAGUGAACCAGUACCGUGAGGGAAAGGCGAAAAGAACCCCGGCGAGGGGAGUGAAAAAGAACCUGAAACCGUGUACGUACAAGCAGUGGGAGCCUCUUUAUGGGGUGACUGCGUACCUUUUGUAUAAUGGGUCAGCGACUUAUAUUCUGUAGCAAGGUUAACCGAAUAGGGGAGCCGAAGGGAAACCGAGUCUUAACUGGGCGUUAAGUUGCAGGGUAUAGACCCGAAACCCGGUGAUCUAGCCAUGGGCAGGUUGAAGGUUGGGUAACACUAACUGGAGGACCGAACCGACUAAUGUUGAAAAAUUAGCGGAUGACUUGUGGCUGGGGGUGAAAGGCCAAUCAAACCGGGAGAUAGCUGGUUCUCCCCGAAAGCUAUUUAGGUAGCGCCUCGUGAAUUCAUCUCCGGGGGUAGAGCACUGUUUCGGCAAGGGGGUCAUCCCGACUUACCAACCCGAUGCAAACUGCGAAUACCGGAGAAUGUUAUCACGGGAGACACACGGCGGGUGCUAACGUCCGUCGUGAAGAGGGAAACAACCCAGACCGCCAGCUAAGGUCCCAAAGUCAUGGUUAAGUGGGAAACGAUGUGGGAAGGCCCAGACAGCCAGGAUGUUGGCUUAGAAGCAGCCAUCAUUUAAAGAAAGCGUAAUAGCUCACUGGUCGAGUCGGCCUGCGCGGAAGAUGUAACGGGGCUAAACCAUGCACCGAAGCUGCGGCAGCGACACUAUGUGUUGUUGGGUAGGGGAGCGUUCUGUAAGCCUGUGAAGGUGUGCUGUGAGGUAUGCUGGAGGUAUCAGAAGUGCGAAUGCUGACAUAAGUAACGAUAAAGCGGGUGAAAAGCCCGCUCGCCGGAAGACCAAGGGUUCCUGUCCAACGUUAAUCGGGGCAGGGUGAGUCGACCCCUAAGGCGAGGCCGAAAGGCGUAGUCGAUGGGAAACAGGUUAAUAUUCCUGUACUUGGUGUUACUGCGAAGGGGGGACGGAGAAGGCUAUGUUGGCCGGGCGACGGUUGUCCCGGUUUAAGCGUGUAGGCUGGUUUUCCAGGCAAAUCCGGAAAAUCAAGGCUGAGGCGUGAUGACGAGGCACUACGGUGCUGAAGCAACAAAUGCCCUGCUUCCAGGAAAAGCCUCUAAGCAUCAGGUAACAUCAAAUCGUACCCCAAACCGACACAGGUGGUCAGGUAGAGAAUACCAAGGCGCUUGAGAGAACUCGGGUGAAGGAACUAGGCAAAAUGGUGCCGUAACUUCGGGAGAAGGCACGCUGAUAUGUAGGUGAAGUCCCUUGCGGAUGGAGCUGAAAUCAGUCGAAGAUACCAGCUGGCUGCAACUGUUUAUUAAAAACACAGCACUGUGCAAACACGAAAGUGGACGUAUACGGUGUGACGCCUGCCCGGUGCCGGAAGGUUAAUUGAUGGGGUUAGCGGUAACGCGAAGCUCUUGAUCGAAGCCCCGGUAAACGGCGGCCGUAACUAUAACGGUCCUAAGGUAGCGAAAUUCCUUGUCGGGUAAGUUCCGACCUGCACGAAUGGCGUAAUGAUGGCCAGGCUGUCUCCACCCGAGACUCAGUGAAAUUGAACUCGCUGUGAAGAUGCAGUGUACCCGCGGCAAGACGGAAAGACCCCGUGAACCUUUACUAUAGCUUGACACUGAACAUUGAGCCUUGAUGUGUAGGAUAGGUGGGAGGCUUUGAAGUGUGGACGCCAGUCUGCAUGGAGCCGACCUUGAAAUACCACCCUUUAAUGUUUGAUGUUCUAACGUUGGCCCCUAAUCGGGGUUGCGGACAGUGUCUGGUGGGUAGUUUGACUGGGGCGGUCUCCUCCUAAAGAGUAACGGAGGAGCACGAAGGUUGGCUAAUCCUGGUCGGACAUCAGGAGGUUAGUGCAAUGGCAUAAGCCAGCUUAACUGCGAGCGUGACGGCGCGAGCAGGUGCGAAAGCAGGUCAUAGUGAUCCGGUGGUUCUGAAUGGAAGGGCCAUCGCUCAACGGAUAAAAGGUACUCCGGGGAUAACAGGCUGAUACCGCCCAAGAGUUCAUAUCGACGGCGGUGUUUGGCACCUCGAUGUCGGCUCAUCACAUCCUGGGGCUGAAGUAGGUCCCAAGGGUAUGGCUGUUCGCCAUUUAAAGUGGUACGCGAGCUGGGUUUAGAACGUCGUGAGACAGUUCGGUCCCUAUCUGCCGUGGGCGCUGGAGAACUGAGGGGGGCUGCUCCUAGUACGAGAGGACCGGAGUGGACGCAUCACUGGUGUUCGGGUUGUCAUGCCAAUGGCACUGCCCGGUAGCUAAAUGCGGAAGAGAUAAGUGCUGAAAGCAUCUAAGCACGAAACUUGCCCCGAGAUGAGUUCUCCCUGACCCUUUAAGGGUCCUGAAGGAACGUUGAAGACGACGACGUUGAUAGGCCGGGUGUGUAAGCGCAGCGAUGCGUUGAGCUAACCGGUACUAAUGAACCGUGAGGCUUAACCUUACAACGCCGAAG